UUCAGAGGUCUCAAGCGUUGUUCGGAUUCAUUGGGCGUAAAGGGUGCGUAGGUGGCGCUGUAAGUCGGGUGUGAAAUUUCGGAGCUUAACUCCGAAACUGCAUUCGAUACUGCGGUGCUUGAGGACUGGAGAGGAGACUGGAAUUCAUGGUGUAGCAGUGAAAUGCGUAGAGAUCAUGAGGAAGACCAGUGGCGAAGGCGGGUCUCUGGACAGUUCCUGACACUGAGGCACGAAGGCCAGGGGAGCAAACGGG
rnacentral:rRNA from 1 species